CCUACGGGAGGCAGCAGUAGGGAAUCUUCGGCAAUGGACGAAAGUCUGACCGAGCAACGCCGCGUGAGUGAAGAAGGUUUUCGGAUCGUAAAACUCUGUUGGUAGAGAAGAACGUUGGUGAGAGUGGAAAGCUCAUCAAGUGACGGUAACUACCCAGAAAGGNACGGCUAANU
rnacentral:rRNA from 1 species